AACGAACGCUGGCGGCAUGCCUAACACAUGCAAGUCGAACGAGACCUUCGGGUCUAGUGGCGCACGGGUGCGUAACGCGUGGGAAUCUGCCCUUCGGUUCGGAACAACAGUUAGAAAUGACUGCUAAUACCGGAUAAUGACGUAAGUCCAAAGAUUUAUCGCCGAAGGAUGAGCCCGCGUAAGAUUAGGUAGUUGGUGGGGUAAUGGCCUACCAAGCCGACGAUCUUUAGCUGGUCUGAGAGGAUGAUCAGCCACACUGGGACUGAGACACGGCCCAGACUCCUACGGGAGGCAGCAGUGGGGAAUAUUGGACAAUGGGCGAAAGCCUGAUCCAGCAAUGCCGCGUGAGUGAUGAAGGCCUUAGGGUUGUAAAGCUCUUUUACCUAGGGAUGAUAAUGACAGUACCUGGAGAAUAAGCUCCGGCUAACUCCGUGCCAGCAGCCGC
rnacentral:rRNA from 1 species